rnacentral:rRNA from 1 species
AAAUUGAAGAGUUUGAUCAUGGCUCAGAUUGAACGCUGGCGGCAGGCCUAACACAUGCAAGUCGAACGGUAACAGAAAGCAGCUUGCUGCUUUGCUGACGAGUGGCGGACGGGUGAGUAAUGUCUGGGAAACUGCCUGAUGGAGGGGGAUAACUACUGGAAACGGUAGCUAAUACCGCAUAACGUCGCAAGACCAAAGAGGGGGGACCUUCGGGCCUCUUGCCAUCGGAUGUGCCCAGAUGGGAUUAGCUAGUAGGUGGGGUAAAGGCUCACCUAGGCGACGAUCCCUAGCUGGUCUGAGAGGAUGACCAGCCACACUGGAACUGAGACACGGUCCAGACUCCUACGGGAGGCAGCAGUGGGGAAUAUUGCACAAUGGGCGCAAGCCUGAUGCAGCCAUGCCGCGUGUAUGAAGAAGGCCUUCGGGUUGUAAAGUACUUUCAGCGGGGAGGAAGGGAGUAAAGUUAAUACCUUUGCUCAUUGACGUUACCCGCAGAAGAAGCACCGGCUAACUCCGUGCCAGCAGCCGCGGUAAUACGGAGGGUGCAAGCGUUAAUCGGAAUUACUGGGCGUAAAGCGCACGCAGGCGGUUUGUUAAGUCAGAUGUGAAAUCCCCGGGCUCAACCUGGGAACUGCAUCUGAUACUGGCAAGCUUGAGUCUCGUAGAGGGGGGUAGAAUUCCAGGUGUAGCGGUGAAAUGCGUAGAGAUCUGGAGGAAUACCGGUGGCGAAGGCGGCCCCCUGGACGAAGACUGACGCUCAGGUGCGAAAGCGUGGGGAGCAAACAGGAUUAGAUACCCUGGUAGUCCACGCCGUAAACGAUGUCGACUUGGAGGUUGUGCCCUUGAGGCGUGGCUUCCGGAGCUAACGCGUUAAGUCGACCGCUGGGGAGUACGGCCGCAAGGUUAAAACUCAAAUGAAUUGACGGGGGCCCGCACAAGCGGUGGAGCAUGUGGUUUAAUUCGAUGCAACGCGAAGAACCUUACCUGGUCUUGACAUCCACGGAAGUUUUCAGAGAUGAGAAUGUGCCUUCGGGAACCGUGAGACAGGUGCUGCAUGGCUGUCGUCAGCUCGUGUUGUGAAAUGUUGGGUUAAGUCCCGCAACGAGCGCAACCCUUAUCCUUUGUUGCCAGCGGUCCGGCCGGGAACUCAAAGGAGACUGCCAGUGAUAAACUGGAGGAAGGUGGGGAUGACGUCAAGUCAUCAUGGCCCUUACGACCAGGGCUACACACGUGCUACAAUGGCGCAUACAAAGAGAAGCGACCUCGCGAGAGCAAGCGGACCUCAUAAAGUGCGUCGUAGUCCGGAUUGGAGUCUGCAACUCGACUCCAUGAAGUCGGAAUCGCUAGUAAUCGUGGAUCAGAAUGCCACGGUGAAUACGUUCCCGGGCCUUGUACACACCGCCCGUCACACCAUGGGAGUGGGUUGCAAAAGAAGUAGGUAGCUUAACCUUCGGGAGGGCGCUUACCACUUUGUGAUUCAUGACUGGGGUGAAGUCGUAACAAGGUAACCGUAGGGGAACCUGCGGUUGGAUCACCUCCUUACCUUAAAGAAGC